UACGUAGGGGGCUAGCGUUGUCCGGAAUCAUUGGGCGUAAAGAGCGUGUAGGCGGCUCGGUAAGUCCGCUGUGAAAGUCCAGGGCUCAACCCUGGAAUGCCAGUGGAAACUGUCGAGCUAGAGUCCGGAAGAGGCGAGUGGAAUUCCUGGUGUAGUGGUGAAAUACGUAGAUAUCAGGAGGAACACCGGUGGCGAAGGCGGCUAUCUGGCCUAAUAUUGACGCUGAGAUGCGAAAGCGUGGGAUCAACAGG
rnacentral:rRNA from 1 species